rnacentral:rRNA from 1 species
CCUACGGGAGGCAGCAGUGGGGAAUAUUGGACAAUGGGGGGAACCCUGAUCCAGCCAUGCCGCGUGUGUGAAGAAGGCCCUCGGGUUGUAAAGCACUUUCAGUGAGGAAGAACGCCUGGUGGUUAAUACCCAUCAGGAAAGACAUCACUCACAGAAGAAGCACCGGCUAACUCCGUGCCAGCAGCCGCGGUAAUACGGAGGGUGCGAGCGUUAAUCGGAAUUACUGGGCGUAAAGCGCGCGUAGGUGGCUUGAUAAGCCGGUUGUGAAAGCCCCGGGCUCAACCUGGGAACGGCAUCCGGAACUGUCAAGCUAGAGUGCAGGAGAGGAAGGUAGAAUUCCCGGUGUAGCGGUGAAAUGCGUAGAGAUCGGGAGGAAUACCAGUGGCGAAGGCGGCCUUCUGGACUGACACUGACACUGAGGUGCGAAAGCGUGGGUAGCAAACAGGAUUAGAUCCGGGUAGUC